UACGUAGGCAGCGAGCGUUGUUCGGAGUUACUGGGCGUAAAGCGUGCGUAGGCGGUGUCUUAAGUUUGUUGUGAAAUCUCCCGGCUUAACCGGGAGGGUGCGGCGAAUACUGAGAUGCUGGAGUGCCGGAGAGGUAAGCGGAAUUCCUGGUGUAGCGGUGAAAUGCGCAGAUAUCAGGAAGAACACCCGUGGCUAAGGCGGCUCUCUAGUACGUGACUGACGCUGAGACGCGAAAGCGUGGGGAGCGAACAGG
rnacentral:rRNA from 1 species